UGAGGUAAAGAAUACGAGUGUUUUGAUACACAUACACGCAAUAAGGUACAAAGUUCUUCAGCUCAGCUUGUUUAUUUCGUCACUGAAAUCGCCUUUUUAUACCAACUGCUAAUGUGUAACAGCUGUUUCUAUAAUUCUCACAUUUGCAUCUAAGACUCGACAUAUUUUCUCGACCUUCUUCGAACUUUUCGGGCCAAAAAACAAGCAAUAAUGUCGGAAGACCAUUUUGAUGAACUGGAACAUUACAACUACGAUCCUCCCAUUCACAGCGGAGCCAGCGGCAAGGGGCUGACAAAAAAGGAGAAAGCUACCAAAGAACACGGGAACCCUCAUACGACCAAGGAGGCCCGUCUUGUUGAAGAUCAAAUAACGAACUCGGAGCAGAAAAAGAAAGAUAAAGUCAAGAAACAGGGCAGCAAAGAAUAGAGCUGAAAACGGUAACAACGGGUAUAAGAUGAUAGGUUUAAAACGACGAUGGAUUUGUGACGAGAAAAUGGGAUAUGGUGUCAGCGAAAAAAGGGACCAGAGCAAGGCCAAGGACAAAGGGAUCUUGCAAUCAUGAAUCAAUUUAAGGGAAGUGAGAAACCAGAAGAGCGCCCUCUACUGCCUGCCUCUCGCCAUGGUCAAGGCAUUCCUUAGCUAGCCAGAGGGACUUUGAACAGGAGACGGUGAAUGAAAAUUAACUCAUUUGUGAACUUUUUUUUUUAAUUUCUUGUCCUUUAAAAAAUUAGAUGUCUUCUAUUUUUCUGUGCAAAGUAAUAGAGUCUGGGUUAUUUCUUAAUAGCUGGAAGGAAUUGGAAUGGUAGACGGUGAAAAUAAACUAAUUUGUGGACAUUUUUGUUUCUAAUUUCUUAUACUACUUUGAAAAUUAGAUGUAUUCUUUUUUUUUGUGCUCAUAGAGCUAGACAAUCAUAUCAAUUACAUGGUUUUGUGUAACUUACCCUCAUGUAAAAGUUAUUCACUCAAAUGGAGAUGAUGCUAAGGCCUUAUGAAAACCAGUGUUAUUUUUCGAGUAUUUCCAUGGGAGGAAACUUUAGGUCGGAAUUUCACUUUGGUAUGAAUGUUGGUUUCAAUAAAAGCAGGAAAAAAAUUAAGAAACAUUUUGGUGAAGAUUUGCCAAAAAAUCCAUACAUGCAAGCUGCUCCCCCAUAUCUAUCUAGGUCAUUUGAUGUAAAUUUGAUAAAAUGCAGUUUUCUCAGAAAAUUUACAUUAUUUCAUCUGUGCAUUCAUCAUAUCUUUAAAGUUUAAACAUAUCUUGUACCCUCUCCUAAAGAAAAAUCAAUUAAUAUUGCGAGUCAUAAACUAUUAAAAAAGUGGAAAUUAUUUGAAUGAUAUUGCAGGUAUAUGAAAUCAAUGCAUGGACCUGCUGCUCGCAUAAUGAGGUCACAACUUCAAAUCUUAAAAUCUCACACCUGUCUUGUUCUCUGUUGGAUUUCACAAACUUUCACCAAUAUUUUCAUUAAUCUUUUUUCUGCUAUUAUCACAAGACAUUUAUUGCCAAGGUGACUGAAUUCCCCUUUAACAAGUACAGCAUGAAAUGGAUUCUCACAAUUCAUUUUAUCAUGUUUUCUUGACCUUUUCAAGGAGACCUGCUCAUUUUUAUUUCGAAAAGUGUGGUUAUGACUCACAGUGGGGAUGGCAAAUGGACUUGGAAAAGAUAUGGUAAAAGAUUGAAUAGCUGAAAGAUUCGCAUCUUUUGUUCCCAUUCCAAAUUGAUCUUGAAAAAAAAAACCUUGAUUAACAUGUGGAUAAUUAGAAAAUGUGUGUUACAUGUAGUCGUAAUUUCUUAAGUUAGGAUUCUAAUCUAGUCAUUGUUUAAGGCCCUGUUACAUCGUUCCAUGCAAGCCUUGCGGGUGAGUUGCGUCUGUCACUCGCAACUCACCCACAACAGAGUAUUGAGCAUGUUCAAAUCUUUUCUGCGUGCAAAUCAGACUUGUUUGUGCUUCUGUGGGCAACUGCGUGUGAGAUACGGUCAAUGCGGGCAACCUGCAACCCCGCAUAUCAGAAACAAAAGCAUGUCAUGAUGUGACAGAGCCUUUAGAAGUUCAUGCUACUGUAUUAGAAUGACUUCAACUUAAUUUUUCACUGAAAUCUGUCAAUGUCAUUCAUUCGCAAAGUUUUACAUUCAUGUAUUGUUAAAUUUUCAAGACUUCCAGCACUGCUUCACAUUCAGUGUUGUGAGCACUGGGCUAUUGGUGUUUUAAGCAUCAUAAUUAUCAUGGAAUCCUUUGUUUGAAUCUCUGGUACAUCAUAAAGCACAACAUGUCCUGUGUCAUGUAUCUGGUGUUAAAUGCACAGUGCAGUGUUUUAAACACUCUAAUCUAGACUAAUAGGAGCGUAUUCUGAAGCCGGGUUUAACUUAAAUUCGGGUUUAAAGUUGUGCUUUAAGUAUGGAUAGCCAAUUGUUACAUAAAUCACUAACAGUAGAGAUAUCAUAUUUCAGCUCAUUUGGCUCUCAAAUCAUUCAUAAUUGUCUAGGAAGUUUAAAUAGAUGAUUGUUUUCACCAUCGAUGAAUCAGGAAAGAGCACAGUAAACAUAAGAAACAUACAACUUCAUGAAAAUUUUGACACUUAUGGCUUCCCAUAAUUUUAGCACAGUUACACCAUGGUCUAAGUUAAACCUGACUUCAGAAUAUGGGCUGUAGUGUUUUAAGCACCAAGUCAUGAAAUUAAGCAUUUAAACCACUGUAAUGUAAAAGCGUUAGAAGCACUGUGUCAUACACAUGUAAUUCAGUGUUUUAGACACCAAAAUUCCAUCAUGUACUUCAAUGUUAUUAUGAGCACUAAUGUGUUUUCAAUAUUUCCAGUAUUAUAGUAUACAGUUUAUCAGUGUUUAUCAGUGGUUAUUUUUUUAUUUUUGGCCUUGUGUAAUUAAGAUUAGGCUUAACUAAUUACCUUGAAAAGGAUAUGAAGCCAAGCUGAUCAAUAUGUUUUCUUUUCUUAUUUUGCAAUUAAUCUUAUUUCUUAUCACACUGCUAAGCAGUAAAUAUUUUGUGCAAUUUUCAUUGACCCAACAUCAUCACGUACAUCUCACUCAAUACAUAGAGGUCACCUUCAUGAGUUCAUGUAUUUCAAAUUUGCAAUACUGUUUAGCCUAAGGUACAGGGUGGAUAAAAAAAAAAGAAAUCUGUAACAUUUUUUUCUGAUUAGGAUACAUACUGUUAGUGUACAUGUAUCUGACAGUGCGAGAAAGCAUUUUUCAAUGGAUUUUAACACGCUUAAAGCCCCUGAAAACCAAGAACAAUAGUUUUUAUCAAAUCUGCUUCUAUGGGCUUUUAGAUGGAAAAACGUGAAUGGAAAUGAUAGUGUCCUGGUACUGUAUGCAGAUUCUCGUUUCAUUCAAUCACCAUCUUCAUUCAUAGAUACUUAAAGGUCAAGUCCACCCCAGGAAAACGCUGACUUGAAUAAAUAGAGAAAAAUCAAACUAGCAUAGUGCUGAAACUUUCAUCAAAAUCGGAUGUAAAAUAAGAAAGUUAUGACAAUUUAAAGUUUCGCUUUUUUUUCACAAAACAGCGAUAUGCACAACCAGGUGAGUCAGUCGAUGAUGUCCCUCACUCACUAUUUCUUUUGUUUUUUAUUGUUUGAAUCAUACAAUAUUUUAUUUUUUAUAGAUUUGACAAUAAGGACAACCUUGACUGAACCAUAGACUAUUAAACAAAGCUAAUUCCACAUGUUCAGGGAGGAAUUAAUCAUUGUAUCACUUGACAAUGAGGAGAAAAUUAGAAUAUUUCACAUUUCAUAUAAUUAAAUACAAAAGAAAUAGUGAGUGGAUGAUGUAAUUUGCAUAUGAGCCAGGAUGUGCAUAUAACCGUUUUGUGAAAUUAAGCGAAAUUUUAAAAUAUCAUAACUUUCUUAUUUUACAUCCGAUUUUGAUGAAAUUUUCAGUGUUAUGCUUGUUGGAUUUUUCUCUUUUUAUUCAAAUCAACUUUGUGUUGGGGUGGACUUGUCCUUUAAGUUAUCACCUUUGCUUUGGAAAUUAGACUGGGCAGUAACAAUUUUCACCAGUUUUAGGGCACAAUCUCUCUUAAUACACUUUAUAUGUUCUAGUGUUUCAAUAAUGGUUUUAGGUUAAACUUGUGCCAGGUCCUGAAAGAAAGAAAAAGGGCUAGUUUUGUUAUGAUUUUUUGGCUUUGAAGCCAUUAGUUAGUAUUCAUAGACUGAGCAUGUUUGAACUUUGAAUAUGUAUUAUUUCUCUGAAACUCAUAUUUUAGGAUUAAUGUGUGAUUGAUUAAGUAGUGCAUGGGAUUAUAGCCUCUAAUCUAAAUAAAAUAGUAUUAUCUUUGAAUAGAAUUUUCGAUAUUUUAUAUAAUCUAUUUUGUAAGGAAGCAUUAUACAUCAUAGUGGAUUGCUUUUCAUUUCCAUCUUGAAUUAUGUAAUAUUUGAAAUAGGGCAACAGGCCCCAGAUACCAGUUCUUUAAAAUGGUAAGAAAAUAAUUUCACUUUCAUGUUUUCAACAAUGUGUGGUUCAUGAAUUAUGAAGCAAAAAUUGAAAGGGAUCUGUGCCUUUUCAUAUAGGGGGUACAUUAUCAACCAAUGUUUCUGUGAAUGUACGUGUUGCUGACUCAAAACUGGUCAUCUGGUCACAAUAUUACUUUGUUUUUUAUGAAGAUGGGCAAUUGACAAAAUAAUGUAUUCAAAUUGAUGAAAUCGUAGGUACAUUAUAUGCCAACAAGUCACUGGUUUAUUCUGAACUUAUUUAAUGAUAUUAGCCCAUUUUGGGGAUUCAUAGGAGUAACAGCUGAGUAUUAUCAUUAUCAUCAUGUUGGCUCUACUGAUUAUUGCUGUAGCAAAGACCUUCAUUUAAAGGUCUUUUCUUUCUUUUUUAGCAAACAAAGUGGUAUCUGCAAUGGUCCGCCACUUAAUGGGAUUUCAGCAAAUUAUAGUAAUGACUAAAGUCAAUUCAGAUAGGGAGGUAGGGGAUGGGGGGGGGGGAGAUGAAGCCUAAAAUGUCAUAAAAUUAUAUUUAAUUUUCUCAUGUAUAAAGAAACAAGGAAGGGGGGUUCAUAUCGGAAGAUUUGUUGAGAGCUUUUGAUUGCACAAGUUUUAUGAACCGGGUCAUCAAGAGAGUGAUUGAAUUAGUUCUAAUAGAUGACAUUGCAGUUUGGGGUAUUUUUCUUUUUUUUCUGUCUUUUUUUAAGUUUUAGAUAUACCAAAGGAGUUUACUAUUUAGGUGUAGAUGUUGAAAUAAUUUAGUUACUAGUAAGACAAUGCAUUUUAAAUGUAUUUUGUUCUAUUAUGUGUUUUCUUGCUUUUGAAUUAUGAUGUAGCGUCAAAUGACAGUAAAAUGAAUAAAACUAUAAGUAAUUAA